rnacentral:rRNA from 1 species
CCUCCUCGCCUCCCCCACCGCCGCGGCGGCGCCCGGGCCGUACGCCGCCGGCGGGGAGGCGGUGGUGGAGGACGACGCCGCCGGGGCCAUCAAGUACGACUACUUCGACCUCGGCUCCGACGCCAAGUACGCCAGGAGGGCGUCCCUGUCGGCAGGGGCCGAGGAGGAGGGUAAGGAGGAGGAGGGGACGGACGAGGAGGCCGGCGAGGCGAGCUGGGUCGAGCCGCACCCCGGCGCCCUCGCCUUCCCCGCCCGCGACCGCGCCGCGCUCUGGUCCGACUCGUCGUCGGACGGCGAGAGGCGCGAGGACGCCGAGGCGGCCGAACCGCUGGUGGAGACGCCCCGGGCGGCUGCGGCGGCGGGGGCGGACGAGGGUGCGGUGGCGAAGGGAGGGCCCGCGGCGCGGUGGUGGAGGCUGCCCGUGGAGGUGCUGCGGCUGUGGGCGGCGCGCGCGGCGAGGAGCGCCUGGUCGGUGCCCGUCGCCGUCGCGCUGCUCGGGAUCGCCGUGCUGGGCCGCCGCCUGUACCGGAUGCGGCGGCAGAGCAAGGCCGUGGCGCGCGUGCGGCUCGUCCUUGACGAUAAGAAGGCAUCUCAAUUCAAGGCCCAGCCGAUGUUACGGCGAGCUCCGAUGAUAAAGCCUAUGCUUCCUGGCAAUGGGGUGACCCCAUGGCCCGUCCUGGGGCACCUGUGAGAUGUGAGAUCCGCUACAUAGAGCUAGAAAUACAGUUGGCUUGUGAGCAUACUAUGCAGUACCCUGCAGAUUUAUCAUACCCUACUUGAAGUGCCUACUUGUGAAAGACAAAAUGAUGCUUAAGUGACUCAUUCAGUAGAUCUUUUCUGCUUGAUGUUUGUAAUGCACCUGUGUGUAUAUUUUUCUUCUGUUGCCUUGUUUUACCUGAUGUGCUUGAACAAUGUGGCUGUGUAUAUAUGACACAAAGUAUCUAAAUAUGGUUGUAGAAUGACAGUUUGAAACUGCGGCGAGCUUCCUUUCAGCAC